rnacentral:rRNA from 1 species
UGAACGCUGGCGGCGUGCUUAACACAUGCAAGUCGAACGAAGCACCUCUAAUCGAAGAUUGAGAAAGCUUGCUUUGAUUGAUUCACCUUGAGGUGACUGAGUGGCGGACGGGUGAGUAACGCGUGGGUAACCUACCCUAUACAGGGGGAUAACAGUUGGAAACGACUGCUAAUACCGCAUAAGCGCACAGGACCGCAUGGUCUAGUGUGAAAAAACUCCGGUGGUAUAGGAUGGACCCGCGUCUGAUUAGCUAGUUGGUGAGGUAACGGCUCACCAAGGCGACGAUCAGUAGCCGACCUGAGAGGGUGACCGGCCACAUUGGGACUGAGACACGGCCCAAACUCCUACGGGAGGCAGCAGUGGGGAAUAUUGCACAAUGGGCGAAAGCCUGAUGCCAGCGACGCCGCGUGAACGAAGAAGUAUUUCGGUAUGUAAAGUUCUAUCAGCAGGGAAGAAAAAUGACGGUACCUGACUAAGAAGCUCCGGCUAAAUACGUGCCAGCAGCCGC